rnacentral:rRNA from 1 species
UGCGUAGGUGGUCUUGUAAGCGUGGGGUGAAAGGCAGUGGCUUAACCAUUGUUAGCCUUGCGAACUGUGAGACUUUGAGUGCAGGAGAGGAAAGUGGAAUUCCUAGUGUAGCGGUGAAAUGCGUAGAUAUUAGGAGGAACACCAGUGGCGAAGGCGACUUUCUGGACUGUAACUGACACUGAGGCACGAAAGCGUGGGGAGCAAACA